CAAUAGCGUAUAUUAAAGUUGUUGCGGUUAAAAAGCUCGUAGUUGGAUUUCUGCCGAGGACGACCGGUCCGCCCUCUGGGUGAGUAUCUGGCUUGGCCUGGGCAUCUUCUUGGAGAACGUAGCUGCACUUGACUGUGUGGUGCGGUAUCCAGGACUUUUACUUUGAGGAAAUUAGAGUGUUUCAAGCAGGCAUGCGCCUUGAAUACAUUAGCAUGGAAUAAUAGAAUAGGACUUUGGUCUUAUUUUGUUGGUUUCCGAGACCGAAGUAAUGAUUAAUAGGGACAGUUGGGGGCAUUCGUAUUUCAUUGUCAGAGGUGAAAUUCUUGGAUUUAUGAAAGACGAACUUCUGCGAAAGCAUUUGCCAAGGAUGUUUUCAUUAAUCAAGAACGAAAGUUGGAGGCUCGAAGACGAUCAGAUACCGU
rnacentral:rRNA from 1 species